rnacentral:rRNA from 1 species
GAUGAACGCUAGCGGCAGGCUUAAUACAUGCAAGUCAAGGGGGUAGCAAUACAACCGGCGCACGGGUGAGUAACGCGUACACAACAUGCCAUAUACUGGGGUAUAGCUUCGGGAAACUGAAGGUAAUCCCCCAUAACAUUGCGAAUGGGCAUCUAAUUGCAAUUAAAGUUCCGACGGUAUAUGAUUGGUGUGCGUUUGAUUAGGUAGUUGGCGGGGUAACGGCCCACCAAGCCGACGAUCAAUAGCUGGCGUGAGAGCGCGACCAGCCACACUGGAACUGAGACACGGUCCAGACUCCUACGGGAGGCAGCAGUAGGGAAUAUUGGACAAUGGGCGAAAGCCUGAUCCAGCCAUGCCGCGUGAUAGAUGAAGGCCCUCUGGGUUGUAAAUAUCUUUUAUCUGGGAAGAAACUCCUCUAUCUUAGAGGCCUGACGGUACCAGAGGAAUAAGCACCGGCUAACUCCGUGCCAGCAGCCGCGGUAAU